rnacentral:rRNA from 1 species
AGGCCUAACACAUGCAAGUCGAGCGGUAACAGAAAGUAGCUUGCUACUUUGCUGAUCGAGCGGCGGACGGGUGAGUAAUGCUUGGGAACAUGCCUUGAGGUGGGGGACAACAGUUGGAAACGACUGCUAAUACCGCAUAAUGUCUACGGACCAAAGGGGGCUUCGGCUCUCGCCUUUAGAUUGGCCCAAGUGGGAUUAGCUAGUUGGUGAGGUAAUGGCUCACCAAGGCAACGAUCCCUAGCUGGUUUGAGAGGAUGAUCAGCCACACUGGGACUGAGACACGGCCCAGACUCCUACGGGGAGGCAGCAGUGGGGAAUAUUGCACAAUGGGCGCAAGCCUGAUGCAGCCAUGCCGCGUGUGUGAAGAAGGCCUUCGGGUUGUAAAGCACUUUCAGUCAGGAGGAAAGGUUAGUAAGUUAAUAAAACAAAAUAGACUGUGACGUUUACCUGACAGAAAAGAAAGCACCCGGGCUUAACCCUCCGGUGCCCAGCCAGGCCGGCGGGGUAAUUACGGGAGGGGUGCGAGCGUUAAAUCCUGAAUCACUGGGCGUAAAGCGUACGCACGCGGUUUGUAAGCGAGAUGUGAAAGCCCGGGGCUCAACCUGGGAACUGCAUUUCCGAACUGGCAAACCUAGGAGUGUGAUANGAGGGGUGGGUAGAAUUUUCAAGGUGUAAGCGGGUGAAAAUGCCGUAAAAGAUCUGAAAGGAUNUAACGGAUGGCCGAAGGCCACCAUCGUGGGGUCCACCCUUGACCCUUAUGUACCAAAGCGGUGGGGAGCAAACAGGAAUAAAAUUCCCUGGGUAUUUCCCCCCUUUAACUAAUGUCUACUUAU